rnacentral:lncRNA from 1 species
GCAAUUUAUUGUAUUGUUGUUUGAGUCAUGUUUUAUAAUUUGGUUUUAACACACAGGCUAAUUGAGGGGUGUUUUUAUCCGAGUCUGCUUGAUUCUUUCAACACCGUGUACCGUCACCGUGCAUGCAUAGCGGGACCCUGUGAUUCAGUCAGCGUAUUGGCAGUGGGCUCACUUGAUUGCAGAUCUGAGAUAUGUGUGCGUGCCGCAACAAGAGGUCAUUCGGAACGCGGCUGGUGGAGAAACACGCACAGCUUGUUGGAAUCCGCGCCCAUAGCCAAUAUUCGCUCUUUCCUAUCCGUGACAGAGGCUGCAAAAAUGACGAUCAAAAAAAGUAAAACCGUCGUUUUUGAAAGACGUGCAGGGGAUUUAACUGCGUUGUAUUGUAUGAAUGAUUGGAUGAUUGCAGUGGUGUUGGCUAUUAUUACCAUGAUGUCUGUAUGGGCCGCACUCAUCAUAUACAGAUACAUACAGACAGAGAGAGGUAAAAGAAGAAGGAAGGUUGAUGACGACACUAUUUUGGAAACUGAAAAGGACGACAAUGAGACGCGAAACGAAGAAGAACAAAUACUAUCCCGUGUCGAGUCAACAGAGGAGGGUGAAGAAGUCGUGCCAGAGACACUGGAGAGCUGGGAUGGAGAGGAAUGGAGGAGAGAGCCAAUGGAAUGGAUUCCAACAACCAAUGAGGAUGUAGAACCCAUUGAGGGGAUCCCAACCACCAAUAAGGAUGUAGAACCCAUUGAGGGGAUCUCAGCAACAACCAAUGAAGGUGUAGAACCCAUUGAGGGGAUCCCAACAAUAACCAAUGAGGAUGUAGAACCCAUUGAGGGGAUCUCAGCAACAACCAAUGAAGGUGUAGAACCCAUUGAGGGGAUCCCAACAAUAACCAUUGAUGAUAUAGAACCCAUUACAAGGAUCCGAACAACAACCAAUGAAGAUUUAGAACCCAUUAAACAGAUCCGAGCACGGACCAAUGAGGAUCUACAACCCAUUAGACGCAUCCGAACACUAACCAAUGAGGAUCUAGAACCCAUUAGACGCAUCCGAACACUAACCAAUGAGGAUCUAGAACCAAUUAGAUGGAUCCGAACAGCAACCAAUGAGGAUCUAGAACCAAUUAGACGGAUCCGAACAGCAACCAAUGAGGAUCUACAACCCAUUAGACGGAUCCGAACAACAACCAAUGAGAGCGAUGGUCCUUACACGUGGGAGUCAUAUGCUGAGUGGCAGAUCGUUGAGGAGUUUCACCUCGGCUCUCAACCUCAACAGCACUGUGAAGGCAUAUGUCAGCACUAUGACGGCUUAUGUCAGGUCUGUGGAGGCUUGUGUCAUUGCAGUGAAUGCUUAUGUCAGUUCUACGAAGGCUUAUGUCAGGACGACGCCGAGUCCCAGACUGACUGUACCGUGGAUCAAGAGGAGCAGGCUUCUACCAGUCACUAUUCCCUCAGUGACAUAAACUAUCAAUCUGGACAUGAGAAGGAUACAGAUGUGUAUAACCAGGACGAGGAGGGUUUGAAGGAAGUUGAACUGAGUGAUGAUUGUCAAUGUGAGAGCACAGAGGAGGAGUCCGAGGUAAACCAUCCACAUGCCUUUGCCAUCAAGCCUCAGAGAGAUCUGGAAGAGCUCAAUGGAAAUCUCCCUGACAUGAUAUUGACUGACUCUGACCUUACAGAACCUGACCAUGUGUGUUAUACAGAGAUACAGGAAGUACAAUACCCAGAUGAUGACAUGACCAGCCAUGUUGCCGCUGAGAUGAUAUUGAGUGGCACUGACCCUACAGAACCCCUGCCUAAACAUCUGUGUGAUACGGAUAAAGAGGAAGUUGAAUGUCCAGAACAUUAUAUGAACAUCCACGUUAACAUCACGCCUCAAGAAAAGAGGCCUGACGUGAUAUUGACCAACACUGACCUUACGGAACCUCGGCCUGAACAUGUGUGUGAUACAGAGAUACAGGAAGUAGAAUACCCCGAUGAUGACAUGACCAGCCAUGUUGUCUUUUCCAACGAGCCUCAGGAAGAGAGGCCGGAGAUGACAUUGACUGACACUGAACAUGUGUCGGAUAAAGAGAGAGAGGAAGUAGAAUAUCCGGAUGAUGAUAGACACAGCCAUGUUGCUUUUGCCAAAGUCCAGGAAAGUGUAAAUCUCCCUGAGAUAGAACCGGAACAUGUGUAUGAGGUGGAGAGAGAGGAAGUGGGAGUAGAAUAUCCAGAUGAGGUAAUCACUGAAGGUCCAGAACAUCUCAGUGAAAACAUCCCAGAGAUUUUGAGUGACACUGACCUCCAAGAACCUGGCAAUUUAUGUGAAGAAGAAAUACAGGAAGUAGAAUGUACAAGUGAUUAUAUGGACAGCCAGGUUUCCUUUGUCAGCGACACUCAGGAAUCAGAACAUCCCAAUGAAUAUCUACCUGACAUGAUAUUGACUGACACCAAGACUAAAGAACUUGACCAUGUGUGUGAUACAGAGAUACAGGAUGUAGAAUGCCCAGACGUUGAGGCAAACAAUC